GACGAACCGAGCGAACGUUAUUCGGAAUCACUGGGCUUAAAGGGCGCGUAGGCGGUCCGGAUAGUCAGGGGUGAAAGCCCCCAGCUCAACUGGGGAAGUGCCUCUGAUACUGCCGGCCUCGAGGGAGGUAGGGGCGUGCGGAACUUCCGGUGGAGCGGUGAAAUGCGUAGAUAUCGGAAGGAACACCGGUGGCGAAAGCGGCGCGCUGGACCUCUUCUGACGCUGAGGCGCGAAAGCCAGGGGAGCGAACGGG
rnacentral:rRNA from 1 species